AAAUUGUACUAGAGCCCAGGAAAAGUGACUUUUUCGUAAAUAAAAAGGUCCGAGAUGUAGGAUGUGGACUCAGACAUACUGUGUUCGUCCUGGACGACGGAACUGUGUACACAUGUGGAUGUAAUGAUCUAGGACAGCUAGGUCAUGAAAAGUCCAGAAAGAAACCAGGUAAAGGAGAUUUUCUGUUUCCAAUAAUUGACCAUUUUACUCCUGAAAUGGUGUUUUAUAUGACGUCUGUAAAUCCUAAACUUUCAGGCUUUUUCAAGAUUUAAUAGCAAAGUAAGAGUUAAACAUACUCUUGACUUUACCAUGCUUCUUAGGAAGUACAUUGGUUUGUGGAUUUUUCUGUUUGUUUGUUUUUAAUUACUACUGCUAGAAUGACCACUGAUUAUAUGUGGUUGAAAACAGUAACAAAAAACCCGUAGACUUCAGCGUUUGUAUAGAUUAUAAAGUUAUCGAGAUCUUUAAUAAGUUCAGCUCUCUUGAACAGAUUUUGAAUUCCUG
rnacentral:lncRNA from 1 species